UGCCUCUCUGAGGUUGACUUGGGGCUGUCCUUGUGUGUUUCAGUCAAAGAGGGCUACAGAGUCUGGUCAGAUGCUAACAUCACAUUUGAGUUUUGUACCUUCUCAGAAAAUGGCAUCCUUCUGGGGAUCAGCCUUGCCAAGGUGGAUGCCAAUGAACUGUAGCUUGUAAACAGCAAGCUUGGAAGGCACAAUCCACACAGGUCUGCAUGGUCCACCAGAGCUCCACACCCACGGGGCCAGCCGGGGCUCUCUUCUGAAGCAGGGUCUCGCUCUGUUGCCGAGGCUGGAUCACAGCUCACUG